AUUGAACGCUGGCGGCAGGCCUAACACAUGCAAGUCGAACGAGUGGCGGACGGGUGAGCAAUGUCUGGGCAACUGCCUGAUGGAGGGGGAUAACUACUGGAAACGGUAGCUAAUACCGCUUAACAUCAGAUCUGUCCAGGUGGGAUUAUCUUGUGGGUGGGGUAACGGCAAACCAAGGCGACGAUCCGUAGCUGGUCUGAGAGGAUGACCAGCCACACUGGAACUGAGACACGGUCCAGACUCCUACGGGAGGCAGCAGUGGGGAAUAUUGGACAAUGGGCGAAAGCCUGAUGCAGCCAUGCCGCGUGUGUGAAGAAGGCCUUCGGGUUGUAAAGCACUUUCAGUGGGGAGGCGUUACCUGCAGAAGAAGCACCGGCUAACUCCGUGCCAGCCGCCGCGGUAAUAC
rnacentral:rRNA from 1 species